CGCUUGCGGCGCGCCUAACACAUGCAAGUCGAACGAGCGAGAGAGAGCUUGCUUUCUCGGCCGAGUGGCGAACGGGUGAGUAACGCGUGAGGAACCUGCCUCAAAGAGGGGGACAACAGUUGGAAACGACUGCUAAUACCGCAUAAGCCCACGGCUCGGCAUCGAGCAGCCCGAAAAGGAGUAAUCCGCUUUGAGAUGGCCUCGCGUCCGAUUAGCUAGUUGGUGAGGUAACGGCCCACCAAGGCGACGAUCGGUAGCCGGACUGAGAGGUUGAACGGCCACAUUGGGACUGAGACACGGCCCACACUCCUACGGGAGGCAGCAGUGGGGAAUAUUGCACAAUGGGGGAAACCCUGAUGCAGCGACGCCGCGUGGAGGAAGAAGGUCUUCGGAUUGUAAACUCCUGUUGUUGGGGAAGAUAAUGACGGUACCCAACAAGGAAGUGACGGCUAACUACGUGCCAGCAGCCGCGGUAAAACGUAGGUCACAAGCGUUGUCCGGAAUUACUGGGUGUAAAGGGAGCGCAGGCGGGAAGACAAGUUGGAAGUGAAAUCUAUGGGCUCAACCCAUAAACUGCUUUCAAAACUGUUUUUCUUGAGUAGUGCAGAGGUAGGCGGAAUUCCCGGUGUAGCGGUGGAAUGCGUAGAUAUCGGGAGGAACACCAGUGGCGAAGGCGGCCUACUGGGCACCAACUGACGCUGAGGCUCGAAAGUGUGGGUAGCAAACAGGAUUAGAUACCCUGGUAGUCCACACCGUAAACGAUGAUUACUAGGUGUUGGAGGAUUGACCCCUUCAGUGCCGCAGUUAACACAAUAAGUAAUCCACCUGGGGAGUACGACCGCAAGGUUGAAACUCAAAGGAAUUGACGGGGGCCCGCACAAGCAGUGGAGUAUGUGGUUUAAUUCGACGCAACGCGAAGAACCUUACCAAGUCUUGACAUCCCUUGACGAUGCUGGAAACAGUAUUUCUCUUCGGAGCAAGGAGACAGGUGGUGCAUGGUUGUCGUCAGCUCGUGUCGUGAGAUGUUGGGUUAAGUCCCGCAACGAGCGCAACCCUUAUGGUCAGUUACUACGCAAGAGGACUCUGGCCAGACUGCCGUUGACAAAACGGAGGAAGGUGGGGAUGACGUCAAAUCAUCAUGCCCUUUAUGACUUGGGCUACACACGUACUACAAUGGCGUUAAACAAAGAGAAGCAAGACCGCGAGGUGGAGCAAAACUCAGAAACAACGUCCCAGUUCGGACUGCAGGCUGCAACUCGCCUGCACGAAGUCGGAAUUGCUAGUAAUCGUGGAUCAGCAUGCCACGGUGAAUACGUUCCCGGGCCUUGUACA
rnacentral:rRNA from 1 species